rnacentral:rRNA from 1 species
GACGAACGCUGGCGGCGUGCUUAACACAUGCAAGUCGAACGGUGAAGCUCCAGCUUGCUGGAGUGGAUCAGUGGCGAACGGGUGAGUAACACGUGAGCAACCUGCCCCUGACUCUGGAAUAAGCGCUGGAAACGGCGUCUAAUACUGGAUACGAGAAGGGUCCGCAUGGGCACUUUCUGGAAAGUUUUUCGGUUGGGGAUGGGCUCGCGGCCUAUCAGCUUGUUGGUGAGGUAAUGGCUCACCAAGGCGACGACGGGUAGCCGGCCUGAGAGGGCGACCGGCCACACUGGGACUGAGACACGGCCCAGACUCCUACGGGAGGCAGCAGUGGGGAAUAUUGCACAAUGGGCGAAAGCCUGAUGCAGCGACGCCGCGUGAGGGAUGACGGCCUUCGGGUUGUAAACCUCUUUCAGCAGGGAAGAAGCGAAAGUGACGGUACCUGCAGAAGAAGCACCGGCGAACUACGU